rnacentral:lncRNA from 1 species
GCUCCUCUGGCUCACGUCGCGUUUUGGUGUUUUGCUCCGGUCAACCUGUAAAAGAGGAAACGGUGAUCACAAAUGUGAAAAAAUCACGUUGAACGAGAAUCGGAAAGGACCUCAUCAGAGGUAAAAAUUGAGACACACCGCGGCGGCGUCACUGGGCUUCGGUGACAUUUUUUGGCCAAUUGGCCGGUGCUUUCACUCCGAUUUGGCCAUAGGUGGGUUUAAAAUCGAAUUCUGAGCAAAUGAUAUAAUUUUUACCUCGUUUGACGGCCAAAAUUUGCUCCAGUGCGGCAGUAGUAGGCGGCUGUCGGUUCCCUGGUGGCU